rnacentral:rRNA from 1 species
AUACGGAUGGUGCGUGCGUUGUUCGGAAUUACUGGGUGUAAAGGGCGCGCAGGCGGCUUGAUAAGUCAGAUGUGAAAGCCCACGGCUCAACCGUGGAAGUGCAUCUGAAACUGUCUGGCUUGAGUACUGGAGAGGAAAGUGGAAUUCCUGGUGUAGAGGUGAAAUUCGUAGAUAUCAGGAGGAACACCGGUGGCGAAGGCGACUUUCUGGACAGAUACUGACGCUGAGGCGCGAAAGCGUGGGGAGCAAACAGGAUUAGAAACCCUAGUAGUCC